GACGAACGCUGGCGGCGCGCCUAACACAUGCAAGUCGAGCGAUGAAAUUUUAACCGAUCUCUUCGGAGAGAAGAUAAAAUGGAUUAGCGGCGGACGGGUGAGUAACACGUGAGAAACCUGCCUUUCACAAGGGGAUAGCCUCGGGAAACCGGGAUUAAUACCCUAUGACACAUUUCCUUCGCAUGGAAGAAAUGUUAAAACUCCGGUGGUGAAAGAUGGUCUCGCGCCUGAUUAGCUAGUUGGUGGGGUAACGGCCCACCAAGGCCAUGAUCAGUAACCGGCCUGAGAGGGUGACCGGUCACAUUGGAACUGAGACACGGUCCAAACUCCUACGGGAGGCAGCAGUGGGGAAUAUUGCACAAUGGAGGAAACUCUGAUGCAGCGACGCCGCGUGAGCGAUGAAGGCUUUCGAGUCGUAAAGCUCUGUCCUAUGGGAAGAUAAUGACGGUACCAUAGGAGGAAGCCCCGGCUAACUACGUG
rnacentral:rRNA from 1 species